rnacentral:rRNA from 1 species
CAGCAGCCGCGGUAAUACGUAGGUCCCGAGCGUUGUCCGGAUUUACUGGGCGUAAAGCGCACGUAGGCGGAUUGUUAAGUCAGAGGUGAAAUCCUGGAGCUCAACUCCAGAACUGCCCUUGAUACUGGCAAUCUAGAGUCCGGAAGAGGUAAGUGGAACUCCUAGUGUAGAGGUGGAAUUCGUAGAUAUUAGGAAGAAUACCAGUGGCGAAGGCGGCUUACUGGUCCGGUACUGACGCUGAGGUGCGAAAGCGUGGGGAGCAAACAGGAUUAGAUACCCCUGUAGUCCCUGUCUCUUAUAC